ACCAAGGCAACCUCAGGAUGAUGCGGUUGGACGAUGCUCUGGGAAUUUCAUUUCUUCAGGCGUAUUGGUCCCAGUGAAUUACACAAAAUAGUCAAGGCAAUCCCAGUCUUGGGGAAGGACAUUUUUAUAAGGCGUGAAUUUGUAUAGACCAUCAGUUGCACCAUGUGGAAGGGAUUUAUGGAGGCAAACAAGAAUGCCCUUUGUUUCCCAGGAGCCUGCUGUUGGCGUUUGACAAAUGGCUCAAACACUAAAAAAAGCCAGAAUGAUUGAGCCGUUGCCUCUUUUAUUUAACAUCUGACGCAUCAAGAUUUAUGAGUCCCAUUCAGGAGCCCCAGAGUAAGUGAAAACAAAA